UACCUGCGGAGGGAUCAUUACACAAUACAAUAUGAAGGCUGUCCGCAGCUGGAGUAUUUUAUUACCCUUGUCUUUUGCGCACUUGUUGUUUCCUGGGCGGGUUCGCUCGCCACCAGGACCACCAAAUAAACCUUUUUUAUGCAGUUGCAAUCAGCGUCAGUACAAACAAUGUAAAUCAUUUACAACUUUCAACAACGGAUCUCUUGGUUCUGGCAUCGAUGAAGAACGCAGCGAAAUGCGAUACGUAGUGUGAAUUGCAGAAUUCAGUGAAUCAUCGAAUCUUUGAACGCACAUUGCGCCCUUUGGUAUUCCAAAGGGCAUGCCUGUUCGAGCGUCAUUUGUACCCUCAAGCUUUGCUUGGUGUUGGGCGUUUUUGUCUUUGGUCGCCCAAAGACUCGCCUUAAAGUGAUUGGCAGCCGGCCUUUCUGGUUUCGCAGCGCAGCACAUUUUUGCGCUUGCCAUCAGCAAAACGGCAAUCCAUCAAGCCUCCUUCUCACGUUNGACCUCGNAUCAGGUAGGGAUACCCGCUGAACUUAAGCAUAUCAAA
rnacentral:rRNA from 1 species